rnacentral:rRNA from 1 species
GUAGGACACUCUAUACGGAGUUACAAAGGAAUGAUAUAAGCGAAGAGGUCUGGAAAGGCCCGCCAAAGAAGGUAACAGCCCUGUAACUGAAAUGUCGUUCUCUCCAGAGUGGAUCCUGAGUACGGCGGAACACGUGAAAUUCCGUCGGAAUCCGGGAGGACCAUCUCCCAAGGCUAAAUACUCCCUAGUGACCGAUAGUGAACCAGUACCGUGAGGGAAAGGUGAAAAGCACCCCGGAAGGGGAGUGAAAUAGAUCCUGAAACCGUGUGCCUACAAGUAGUCAGAGCCCGUUAACGGGUGAUGGCGUGCCUUUUGUAGAAUGAACCGGCGAGUUACGAUCCCGUGCAAGGUUAAGCAGAAGAUGCGGAGCCGCAGCGAAAGCGAGUCUGAAUAGGGCGCAUGAGUACGUGGUCGUAGACCCGAAACCAGGUGAUCUACCCAUGUCCAGGGUGAAGUUCAGGUAACACUGAAUGGAGGCCCGAACCCACGCACGUUGAAAAGUGCGGGGAUGAGGUGUGGGUAGGGGUGAAAUGCCAAUCGAACCUGGAGAUAGCUGGUUCUCUCCGAAAUAGCUUUAGGGCUAGCCUCAAGGUAAGAGUCUCGGAGGUAGAGCACUGAUUGGACUAGGGGCCCCUACCGGGUUACCGAAUUCAGUCAAACUCCGAAUGCCGAUGACUUAUCCUUGGGAGUCAGACUGCGAGUGAUAAGAUCCGUAGUCGAAAGGGAAACAGCCAAGACCGCCAGCUAAGGUCCCAAAGUAUACGUUAAGUGGAAAAGGAUGUGGAGUUGCUUAGACAACCAGGAUGUUGGCUUAGAAGCAGCCACCAUUUAAAGAGUGCGUAAUAGCUCACUGGUCGAGUGACUCUGCGCCGAAAAUGUACCGGGGCUAAACGUAUCACCGAAGCUGCGGACUGUUCUUACGAACAGUGGUAGGAGAGCGUUCUAAGGGCUGUGAAGCCAGACCGGAAGGACUGGUGGAGCGCUUAGAAGUGAGAAUGCCGGUAUGAGUAGCGAAAGACGGGUGAGAAUCCCGUCCACCGAAUGCCUAAGGUUUCCUGAGGAAGGCUCGUCCGCUCAGGGUUAGUCGGGACCUAAGCCGAGGCCGAAAGGCGUAGGCGAUGGACAACAGGUUGAUAUUCCUGUACCACCUCCUCACCAUUUGAGCAAUGGGGGGACGCAGGGGGAU